rnacentral:tRNA from 1 species
CUCGAAAAAUGUAGUUUAAUCAAAACAUUAGCAUUGGAAGCUAGAGAUUAGGUAACAAUCCUACAUUUCGA